rnacentral:rRNA from 1 species
AGGGCACCACCAGGUGUGGAGCCUGCGGCUUAAUUUGACUCAACACGGGGAAACUCACCAGGUCCAGACAUAACUAGGAUUGACAGAUUGAUAGCUCUUUCAUGAUUUUAUGGGUGGUGGUGCAUGGCCGUUCUUAGUUGGUGGAGUGAUUUGUCUGGUUAAUUCCGAUAACGAACGAGACCUUAACCUGCUAAAUAGCCAGGCCGUCUUCGGAUGGUCGCCGGCUUCUUAGAGGGACUGUCAGCGUCUAGCUGACGGAAGUUUGAGGCA